AGAACGAACGCUGGCGGCAUGCCUAACACAUGCAAGUCGAACGAGACCUUCGGGUCUAGUGGCGCACGGGUGCGUAACGCGUGGGAAUCUGCCCUUAGGUACGGAAUAACAGUGAGAAAUUACUGCUAAUACCGUAUGAUGUCUUCGGACCAAAGAUUUAUCGCCUAGGGAUGAGCCCGCGUUGGAUUAGCUAGUUGGUGGGGUAAAGGCCUACCAAGGCGACGAUCCAUAGCUGGUCUGAGAGGAUGAUCAGCCACACUGGGACUGAGACACGGCCCAGACUCCUACGGGAGGUAGCAGUGGGGAAUAUUGGACAAUGGGCGAAAGCCUGAUCCAGCAAUGCCGCGUGAGUGAAGAAGGCCUUCGGGUUGUAAAGCUCUUUUACCCGGGAAGAUAAUGACUGUACCGGGAGAAUAAGCCCGGCUAACUCCGCGCCAGCAGCCGC
rnacentral:rRNA from 1 species